rnacentral:rRNA from 1 species
GACGAACGCUGGCGGCGUGCUUAACACAUGCAAGUCGAACGGAAAGGCCCUGCUUUUGUGGGGUGCUCGAGUGGCGAACGGGUGAGUAACACGUGAGUAACCUGCCCUUGACUUUGGGAUAACUUCAGGAAACUGGGGCUAAUACCGGAUAGGAGCUCCUGUUGCAUUGUGGGGGUUGGAAAGUUUCGGCGGUUGGGGAUGGACUCGCGGCUUAUCAGCUUGUUGGUGGGGUAGUGGCUUACCAAGGCUUUGACGGGUAGCCGGCCUGAGAGGGUGACCGGCCACAUUGGGACUGAGAUACGGCCCAGACUCCUACGGGAGGCAGCAGUGGGGAAUAUUGCACAAUGGGCGGAAGCCUGAUGCAGCAACGCCGCGUGCGGGAUGACGGCCUUCGGGUUGUAAACCGCUUUCGCCUGUGACGAAGCGUGAGUGACGGUAAUGGGUAAAGAAGCACCGGCUAACUACGUG